CAACUGUAGUCCUCCUUGGCACAUACCAUUUGAAGGAAGAGCAAAAAUAUUAGGUUUCAGGCUGCAAAAUGAAGCUUCUUCUCCUUACAACAUUUGUAACCAUAAUUUGCUAUGUCAAUGCAGG